GCGGAAGUAGCUCAGUGGUAGAGCAUCGCCUUGCCAAGGCGAGGGUCGCGGGUUCGAAUCCCGUUUUCCGCU
rfam:Thermosinus carboxydivorans Nor1 ctg29, whole genome shotgun sequence.